rnacentral:rRNA from 1 species
CUAGCCGUAAACGAUGGAUACUAGGUGUUAGAGGUAUCGACCCCUCUAGUGCCGAAGCUAACGCAUUAAGUAUCCCGCCUGGGGAGUACGACCGCAAGGUUGAAACUCAAAGGAAUUGACGGGGGCCCGCACAAGCGGUGGAGCAUGUGGUUUAAUACGUCACUAACCGUAGAACCUCACCCAGGCUUGACAUCCGCUGUAAGUCCGUGAAAGCGGUACCCCUGCAUGGAAACAUGCAGCAGCGAGACAGGUGU